AGUGAACGCUGGCGGUAGGCCUAACACAUGCAAGUCGAACGGCAGCACAGUAAGAGCUUGCUCUUACGGGUGGCGAGUGGCGGACGGGUGAGGAAUACAUCGGAAUCUACUUUUUCGUGGGGGAUAACGUAGGGAAACUUACGCUAAUACCGCAUACGACCUACGGGUGAAAGCAGGGGAUCUUCGGACCUUGCGCGAUUGAAUGAGCCGAUGUCGGAUUAGCUAGUUGGCGGGGUAAAGGCCCACCAAGGCGACGAUCCGUAGCUGGUCUGAGAGGAUGAUCAGCCACACUGGAACUGGGACACGGUCCAGACUCCUACGGGAGGCAGCAGUUGGGAAUAUUGGACAAUGGGCGCAAGCCUGCUCCAGCCAUACCGCGUGGGUGAAGAAGGCCUUCGGGUUGUAAAGCCCUUUUGUUGGGAAAGAAAAGCAGCAGGUUAAUACCCCGCUGUUCUGACGGUACCCAAAGAAUAAGCACCGGCUAACUUCGUG
rnacentral:rRNA from 1 species